rnacentral:tRNA from 1 species
UCCUGGUUAGCUCAGUUGGUAGAGCAGGUGACUGUUAAUCACUUUGCCGGCCGUUCGAGUCCGCCACCGGGAGCCA